CCUACGGGUGGCUGCAGUGAGGAAUAUUGGUCAAUGGGCGAGAGCCUGAACCAGCCAAGUAGCGUGAAGGAUGAAGGUCCUAUGGAUUGUAAACUUCUUUUAUAGUAGAAUAAAGUGAGCCACGUGUGGUUUUUUGUAUGUAUACUAUGAAUAAGGAUCGGCUAACUCCGUGCCAGCAGCCGCGGUAAUACGGAGGAUCCGAGCGUUAUCCGGAUUUAUUGGGUUUAAGGGGUGAGUAUACGGCAUAAUAGAAAGUUUGCGGCUCAACCGUAAAAUUGCAGUUGAUACUGUUAUUCUUGAGUGUACAUAAGGUAGGCGGAAUUCGUGGUGUAGCGGUGAAAUGCUUAGAUAUCACGAAGAACUCCAAUUGCGAAGGCAGCUUACCGGGGUACAACUGACGCUGAGGCACGAAAGUGUGGGUAUCAAACAGGAUUAGAUACCCCUGUAGUC
rnacentral:rRNA from 1 species